UACGAAGGUGUCAAACGUUGUCCGGAAUUAUUGGGCGUAAAGGGCGCGUAGGCGGUUGGAUAAGUCAGAUGUGAAAGCUCAGGGCUCAACCCUGAGAUUGCAUCUGAUACUGUCUGACUUGAGUUCGGUAGAGGAGGGCGGAAUUCCUGGUGUAGCGGUGAAAUGCGUAGAUAUCAGGAGGAACACCUGUGGCGAAGGCGGCUCUCUGGUCCGAUACUGACGCUGAGGCGCGAAAGCUAGGGUAGCAAACAGG
rnacentral:rRNA from 1 species